rnacentral:rRNA from 1 species
AACGAACGCUGGCGGCAUGCCUAACACAUGCAAGUCGAACGAGACCUUCGGGUCUAGUGGCGCACGGGUGCGUAACGCGUGGGAACCUGCCCUUAGGUUCGGAAUAACUCCCCGAAAGGGGUGCUAAUACCGGAUAAUGUCAUCGGACCAAAGAUUUAUCGCCUUUGGAUGGGCCCGCGUUGGAUUAGCUAGUUGGUAGGGUAAAAGCCUACCAAGGCGACGAUCCAUAGCUGGUCUGAGAGGAUGAUCAGCCACACUGGGACUGAGACACGGCCCAGACUCCUACGGGAGGCAGCAGUGGGGAAUAUUGGACAAUGGGCGAAAGCCUGAUACAGCAAUGCCGCGUGAGUGAUGAAGGCCUUAGGGUUGUAAAGCUCUUUUACCCGGGAUGAUAAUGACAGUACCGGGAGAAUAAGCACCGGCUAACUCCGUG